UCUUCAUUUCACGUGUUCUCUCACCGGUCAGAGCGACGAGAGAGUGUGUGAAAUGAAGAGA
rfam:Pristionchus pacificus strain PS312 contig11032, whole genome shotgun sequence.